rnacentral:rRNA from 1 species
AGAGUUUGAUCCUGGCUCAGAACGAACGCUGGCGGCAGGCCUAACACAUGCAAGUCGAACGCGCGUAGCAAUACGCGAGUGGCGCGCGGGUGAGUAAUACGUGGGAAUCAACCCUGAGGUUCGGAAUAACCGCGGGAAACUGCGGCUAAUACCGGAUGUCCCCUACGGGGGAAAGAUUUAUCGCCUUGGGACGAGCCCACGUCCGAUUAGCUAGUUGGUGAGGUAAUGGCUCACCAAGGCUACGAUCGGUAGCUGGUCUGAGAGGACGACCAGCCACACUGGAACUGAGACACGGUCCAGACUCCUACGGGAGGCAGCAGUGGGGAAUAUUGGGCAAUGGAGGCAACUCUGACCCAGCCAUGCCGCGUGGGUGACGAAGGUCUUCGGAUUGUAAAGCCCUUUCGGCGGGGACGAUGAUGACGGUACCCGCAGAAGAAGCCCCGGCUAACUUCGUGCCAGCAGCCGCGGUAAUACGAAGGGGGCUAGCGUUGUUCGGAAUUACUGGGCGUAAAGGGCGUGUAGGCGGCCCGUUAAGACAGGUGUGAAAUUCCUGGGCUCAACCCAGGACGUGCGCCUGUGACUGGCGGGCUUGAGUCCGGGAGAGGAUGGUGGAACUCCCAGUGUAGAGGUGAAAUUCGUAGAUAUUGGGAAGAACACCCGUGGCGAAGGCGGCCAUCUGGACCGGUACUGACGCUAAGGCGCGACAGCGUGGGGAGCAAACAGGAUUAGAUACCCUGGUAGUCCACGCCGUAAACGAUGAGUGCUAGACGUUGGGCAGCCUAGCUGUUCAGUGUCGCAGCUAACGCAUUAAGCACUCCGCCUGGGGAGUACGGCCGCAAGGUUGAAACUCAAAUGAAUUGACGG